AUUCGAAACGCGCGCCGAACCGGACUAUUUCGCGGAGCAGUACAUGUGCAGUAGCUCCGCCCCCGUAGCCUUCCCUUCAUUGCCAAGAAAAGUUGUCCUUGGGGGCGCUUUAGUUGUUUGACGGGUGCACGAUGCGCGCGGUUUGUGUGUGUGUGUGCCAUGCUGUGUUCUGCAAUGCUUCGUUACCACGUUUAUCGAUUAUGCACGUUGGUUACUUGAUUCAAUGUCAAGUGUACCUUCCAAGACGAUCUAGGUCCUAGUCUCGUGACUGAAGGCGAGUGCGGACGUACAGCAGCCUUUUGACAAGACUGUCGCCGAGUGUACGGUACAUUGUGGACUGUAAAGCUGAAGAGUGCACAGUGGAUGCCUGAUUUUGGAACCGAGUGUGAUCGUCUGGGCGGUGUGUUCACUCUGCGGGGAUGAUGGCCAGAGGAAGGAUGAUAGACAGACGACAGCUUGCAGACGAAGAUGGGAGCGUUCUACCUGUGAGCCUGGUCGAGCUUAUAUUUUAUGGAUACACAUGCAUGGAUACACAUACAUGGAUUCCCUACAAGGACCCUGCGCAUCAAAAGCAAUCUGUCAUCAAUGUUAAGUAGACAGAUUAAACGAAACGAAGAUAUGACAGGUGUACACCAUAUUUUUCUUUCAUUUAACCUCUGCAUGUUUCCCAGUCAAUAAAUGUUUUUAUCCAUUUUCUUUUGUUGAGAAAUGUCUUUGUACAGCACAAGUGUCGUAGAAGGUGCAUACAUGCACUUUUGUAUGAUGCUUGGCUGCAUGUGUAUCAACCAGCAAACACAU